GGCGAGUGGGAGUUUCCCCCUCACAUCACUGUUCUUAAAGACUUUACGUGUUUCCAAAUCUAGAGAAUGCCUUUACCCUAUCCAUCCUAUCCCUGGAAGUCUCCCCGCCCCUCUCCCCAACAGGUAAUGAACGUUUCCCUUCUUUCCGCCGGCGAACUUCCUUAACCCUUGGACUAGCCGCCCGGACACCAUGCUGGGGAAAGCGCGGACGGGUUCGAGGGAAGCGCCGGUGGGCGGGACCGGACGUUCGAUCUCAGAACAGUUUUUUUCUGGGCUCCAGUUAUGAAAUGGAGUUGGAGCCUGGAGACCUCGCUACUGCAAAAUCCAGAUGGAGAAACAACCAUAUGGCGCGGGCUUCACUC